rnacentral:rRNA from 1 species
CAAUAGCGUAUAUUUAAGUUGCUGCAGUUAAAAAGCUCGUAGUUGGAUUUCGGGUGGGAAUGGCCGGUCCGCCGUUUCGGUGUGCACUUGCUACGCCCACCUUGCUGCCGGGGACGUGCUCUUGAGUUCACGCUCGGGACACGGAGUCGGCGAGGUUACUUUGAGUAAAUUAGAGUGUUCAAAGCAGGCCUACGCUCUGAAUACAUUAGCAUGGAAUAACACGAUAGGACUCUGGCCUAUCUUGUUGGUCUGUAGGACCGGAGUAAUGAUUAAGAGGGACAGUCGGGGGCAUUCGUAUUUCAUUUUCAGAGGUGAAAUUCUUGGAUUUAUGAAAGACGAACUACUGCGAAAGCAUUUGCCAAGGAUGUUUUCAUUAA